rnacentral:rRNA from 1 species
AUUGAACGCUGGCGGCAGGCUUAACACAUGCAAGUCGAGCGGGGUGAUGGUGCUUGCACUAUCACUUAGCGGCGGAUGGGUGAGUAAUGCUUAGGAAUCUGCCUAUUAGUGGGGGACAACAUCUCGAAAGGGAUGCUAAUACCGCAUACGUCCUACGGGAGAAAGCAGGGGAUCACUUGUGACCUUGCGCUAAUAGAUGAGCCUAAGUCGGAUUAGCUAGUUGGUGGGGUAAAGGCCUACCAAGGCGACGAUAUGUAGCGGGUCUGAGAGGAUGAUCCGCCACACUGGGACUGAGACACGGCCCAGACUCCUACGGGAGGCAUCAGUGGGGAAUAUUGGACAAUGGGGGCAACCCUGAUCCAGCAAUGCCGCGUGUGUGAAGAAGGCCUGUGGGUCGUAAAGCACUUUCAGUGGGGAGGAGGGUUGAUAGGUUAAGAGCUAAUUGACUGGACGUUACCCACAGAAGAAGCACCGGCUAACUCCGUGCCAGCCGCCGCCGUAA